AUUUUAAAUCACUAUAUUGUUAUGAGUGAGUUUAUCCUUGCAAAAUCUAUCAAUAAGUUCUAAGUCCUUUCCUUCCUUAUAUAGUGUGAGUGUGUGUGUGUUAAUAUGUUUACUAAAUCUCUAUGUUAGUGUGAGUUUUUUCCCUGCAAAGUCUAUCAAUAAGUUCUAAGUCCUUUCCUUCCUUAUAUAGUGUGAGUGUGUGUGUGUUAAUAUGUCUACUAAAUCUCUAUGUUAGUGUGAGUUUUUUCCUUGCAAAGUCUAUCAAUAAGUUCUAAGUCCUUUCCUUCCUUAUAUAGUGUGAGUGUGUGUGUGUUGAUAUGUCUACUAAAUCUCUAUGUUAGUGUUGAGUUUUUUCCUUGCAAAGUCUAUCAAUAAGUUCUAAGUCCUUUCCUUCCUUAUAUAGUGUGAGUGUGUGUAUUAAUAAGUAUACUAAAUCUCUAUGUAAGUCUGAAUGAGUGUUUUCUACCAGUCUGUCAAUAAGUUCUUUGCUUGUGUCGUAAGUAAUAAUUCUAACGUGUGUAAUUCUUGCAGGUCACGCUUGCCAAGAUGCUCUGCGAUAACUGUGAUAAUGUGGAGAGUGAGCAGCGGUCCGUCUUUGACCUUCCUGACCCCUUCCUGAACCCUCGUGUGUCCCGCUGUGACCUGCCGGGGAUCAACCCAGAGCUGUGGAAGGAGCGCGUGUCAUGUGGGGUCGGCAAGACUGAUAUUGACAUCGGGGCAGCCGAGCGCAUAUCACCCUGUGUCAUGUGCACCUGUACCAAGGAAGGGAAUUGAAUGGCUGAACGGACAUCUCUGGCGUCUUGGUCUGCCUGCGGCACACUGCACACUCUGGAAGAAAGAACACCAAGAUGUCAAGUUCCUGCAGAAUCAGCCUCUUAGUGAAGAAAAUGUGCCUUAUUUAUUUAAUAAAUAAUUG